rnacentral:rRNA from 1 species
GACGAACGCUGGCGGCGUGCUUAACACAUGCAAGUCGAGCGGUAAGGCCCUUUCGGGGGUACACGAGCGGCGAACGGGUGAGUAACACGUGGGUGACCUGCCCUCAGCUCUGGGAUAAGCCUGGGAAACCGGGUCUAAUACCGGAUAUGACUCCAUGACGCAUGUUGUGGGGUGGAAAGCCUUGUGCGGCUGAGGAUGGGCCCGCGGCCUAUCAGCUUGUUGGUGGGGUGAUGGCCUACCAAGGCGACGACGGGUAGCCGGCCUGAGAGGGCGACCGGCCACACUGGGACUGAGACACGGCCCAGACUCCUACGGGAGGCAGCAGUGGGGAAUCUUGCGCAAUGGGCGAAAGCCUGACGCAGCGACGCCGCGUGAGGGUGACGGCC